ACCAGUCAGAACUGAAGGCAAGAGCAACAGACCAACACUGAGAGUGAUUGAGAGAAGAGCCACAUGUGGAAAAGAUGGAAAGAAUUGUGACACAAUCCAGUGGUUCUCAAACGUCUGGCACAUCCUAUUCACUAACAUCAUCUCCAGAAUUUAAAGCGUCCUCUUCUACAAUGUCUACUUGAGGGUCUUCAUUAUCACUACUGUUUGCGGCUAAAUCCUCAUUUGAAAUACUGUCAGCUUCUUCUUCAAGUACCUUCAGAUCUCCUGUAUCAAUAAUCCCUAGAAAUUCAUUUUCAUCUACAUCUCUUGCAUUUCCUAUUUCUUCAUUGGAAGAUGUAUCACCAAUUCCAUCUACUUGAAAUAUUUCAUUAAUAUCAUCAUCGGUAACCUCUCUAUUAGUCCAUUUUCAUGCUGCUGAUAAAGAGAUACUCAAGACUGGACAAUUUACAAAAGAAGACA
rnacentral:lncRNA from 1 species